AUGAGUGUCUUCAGGCUGCCGGCAUCCGUUUGUGAUGACUUGACAAGGAUGAUGAGGCGGUACUGGUGGGGGGAGAAUGGUAAGAGGAAAAUGGCCUGGCUUAGUUGGAAGAAGAUGGUGGUACCCAAGUCUAUGGGGGGGCAUGGGUUCCCAUGACAUAGAGCAUUGAACCAGGCCCUGCUAGCUAAGCAGGCUUAGCGAUUAUUGAAUUGCCCAGAUAACCUGUGUGCUAGACUUCUUAGAGCUAAAUAUUACUCCCAUGGAAAUAUGUUGGAUAUGGUGUUUCUAUACAGCUCGUCCGCAGUAUGGAAGGGGAUUGUACAUGGUCUUGAGUCGGUGAAGAAAGGCAUUAUUUGGCGUGUGGGCGAUGGGACACUGAUUAGAACUUGGUGAGAUGCGUGGAUCCUGAGGGGUCAUAAUCUUCGGCCAAUCACACCAAAACACAACUGCAGAAUUAAUUGGGUGGUGGAUUUCUUGACUGGACAAGGUGCUUGGAAUGAACAAAGGCUGCGAGAGCAUUUUUGGGACAUGGACGUAUGGGAGAUUCUUAAGAUCCGUACCUCGCCGAGGAAUGGCCAAGACUUCAUUGCCUGGUUUCUGGAAAGGAGCGGACAAUUUACUGUGAGGAGUGCUUACAGGCUUGCUACUUUGAGCAUCGCCCCAGGUAUGACACCCGCGACCAGCAGCAACCCAUCUGGGGAAAGGCCGGUUUGGCAGUGCAUAUGAGCAGCCAAGGUACCCCUCAAGAUGAGGAUCUUGACAUGGAAGGUAGUCUCAGGGGCAUUAGCAACUAACUCAUGCAAAAAGUAUCGUCAUAUCUCUACAAGAGACACCUGCCCCAUGUGCGCGAAGGAAAAGGAGUGCAUUUUCCAUGCCCUAGUUACACGUGAUCACGCGCAAGAAGUGUGGCAAUAGAUGCGCAUGGUGUGGUGCUUGCCGCGCCAUGAACUGCUGCAGGAUACAGGGUAGGACUGACUAUUAAAUGUGUUGACAAAUUGUGAUGAGUUUAUGAGGGUGUGUGUGAUCAUGCUGAUUCGGCGUAUUUAUUCUCUCCGGUCAGCUUUCACACAUGGCAAGGAAGUGCCUUCGGUGGCUACAACAGUAUCAUAUUUGCAGAGUUAUAUGCAGUCCUUAGAUCUCUCCAGGAAAUAUUCUACAGAGGAGAUUAUCAAAUGA
rnacentral:rRNA from 1 species